rnacentral:lncRNA from 1 species
CUCAGGAUGAUGAUAAGGACCCAGGAGUGCAAGAGCCAAGGUUCAGCCCUAAAAUGAUGGAAUAGUGACCCACAAUCUGGGACAUCCAUCUGCCUCUGAACAAUAUGCAUUGUCUUACGUCUGUAUCUGCGAGAGCUGCUGGUACUAACACCCAGCGUAUUCUCAGAAUCUCUAUGUUAGUCCAUUAAGUUCUAGCCCCCCUGUGCUAUAAUUUGUAGUAUGUUGACAUUAAAAAAAAAAUCCAUUCCUCUAAAGUUAAAUAUUUGAAUAGUGUCAGGGUAGGUCAUUAUUCUCCGUCAAGAAUCCCUUAGCACCACAUAGUCACCACAUGUGACAGCAUGUGGGUUUCUAAGAAGAGGAACCCCUUUCCCCCAAGACGGUUGUUGACUUGACUUUGUUGUUCAGCCUGCUGCGGAUGGGUCCCUCCUCCUGCAAAAACAGAAAUGUAGAUAUUACGGUCACCACGGUUGUUCCAUCACCAUGAAGAGGUGACAUCAUAACGUGCAAUACAUCUGACCACAGCUUGAACAUUCCACAGGACGAGAAGAGCAUCGCAACCAGUUCCAAUUGUGAGCGGCCUCCGCAUUUCCAGACUUAAUGCCGUAGGUGCAGAGAAUCUUCCUGACUUGAAAACUGAGACACCCUCAUUCCGUCAGAGCCUCAAGAGCCAGUGUCCACAUCCUGAGCCUUCCUACCUCUGUGGCCCAAUUCUUGAAGCUUCCUUCUUUGGCAACCAUUUCUGGUGGGACAGCUUUUCGGAUCUGGUCACAGCAUCCGUACCGCUCACUGGAUAGUAUGCUUGCUUUUCCCCUUGAAUAAAACAGCCGAUCUGAGGACUGGAGAGAUGCUCACUUGUGCAAACACCAGAGCCUAUGUGAUGAUAGCCAGAUGUGACACAGGCAAAUGCUGGUCUUGGUCUGAGGUUGUUGUUUCCUGACCACUGAGUCUCAGACCAGGCCAGCAAACUCCAAAUAAGAAAUGGAGCUGCAGAUUCUCUGGCUUCAUUCAAGUUGCCUAAGGGGAGGCGCCAGGAG